CCCAGACUCCUACGGGAGGCAGCAGUGGGGAAUAUUGCACAAUGGGGGGAACCCUGAUGCAGCGACGCCGCGUGAGUGAAGAAGUAUUUCGGUAUGUAAAGCUCUAUCAGCAGGGAAGAUAAUGACGGUACCUGACUAAGAAGCCCCGGCUAACUACGUGCCAGCAGCCGCGGUAAUACGUAGGGGGCAAGCGUUAUCCGGAUUUACUGGGUGUAAAGGGUGCGUAGGUGGCAGGGCAAGUCAGAUGUGAAAGCCCGGGGCCCAACCCCGGUACUGCAUUUGAAACUGUCCGGCUGGAGUGCAGGAGAGGUAAGCGGAAUUCCUAGUGUAGCGGUGAAAUGCGUAGAUAUUAGGAGGAACACCAGUGGCGAAGGCGGCUUACUGGACUGUAACUGACACUGAGGCACGAAAGCGUGGGGAGCAAACAGGAUUAGAUACCCCAGUA
rnacentral:rRNA from 1 species